ACACAUCGCAAUAAGACGGUCAUAAAAUAUUUUCUACGAUCUCACCACAAAAAAGGGAGGAGAAACAGAUUCAAUGCCCAAUGAGCCCUAAAACAAGUCAAUUUACAAAUAUAUAUACUUAUUUAUUUAUAAGGGUUAAUUUCAUACAUAUCCCUACAAACGAAGUGAAAGGCAAAUACAUUCCUAUAAAGUUUAAUUUUCAUAUAUUGUUUCUAUAAAACUCUUAAUGUUUUCAAAUAUAUCUCUCUGAUUUGUUACUAGUAGAGAACCGUUAGAAAACCGUUUAUAUUUUCAAUUUUGCCAUCACAAAUAUAUUCACUACAACAGAAUUAGGUUAUAGCGACACAUGUUUGGGACAUUUUUGUGUAACCGUCCCAUUUAUACAAAAACUUUUAAAAAAAUCUACUAAUGCCUAAAUAUAAAGCCCAAUCCAAUAAAAAAUAAAAGAUUACUCUACUCAACCCACUCCAUCCAUCCCAUUCGGCCCAAUUACAAACAGAAAAGAAAAAAUAAAAGAAAAAUCGAUUAUCAUCUCCUCUUUUCCCCUCACUCAAUCUAUUGAAAUUCUAGACGAAGAGCCCUUCCCUCUCCUUAUCCUCCACCAGCGCAGCAAAAAAGGUAGAGUUUCGGCAGUUGCUAAAUGCUUAAAUAAAUGUUAGUAAAUUAGCAACACUCUUUAACUGUCAUUAUAUAUCUAGCGACCCCACAUAUAGCAACACUUUUUAAAAGUGUUGGUAAUUUAGCCAGCAGCACUUUUUUUUGACCUGUACCGAUAUUUAAAAGUGUCGCUAUAGAUCGUUUUUGUUGUAGUGAUUCUUUCAAAUAUUAGGACUUUUGUAGGGACAAAAUAUGAAAAUUGAAUUUUGUAGGGAUAUAUUUGUUAUUCGCUAUGUUUGCAGGGACUUAUAUAAAAUUAACCCUAUUUAUAAUUAAAUUGG
rnacentral:lncRNA from 1 species